AUUGAACGCUGGCGGCAGGCCUAACACAUGCAAGUAGAACGAGUGGCGGACGGGUGAGUAAUGUCUGGGAAACUGCCUGAUGGAGGGGGAUAACUACUGGAAACGGUAGCUAAUACCGCAUACCAUCAGAUGUGCUCAGCUGGGAUUCGCUGGUUGGUGGGGUAACGGCUCACCAAGGCGACGAGCCCUAGCUGGUCUGAGAGGAUGACCAGCAACACUGGAACGGAGACACGGGCCAGACUCCUACGGGAGGCAGCAGUGGGGAAUAGUGCACAAUGGGUGCAAGCCUGAUGCAGCCAUGCAGCGUGUAUGAAGAAGGCCUUCGGGUUGUAAAGUACUUUCAGCGGGGAGGCGUUACCCGCAGAAGAAGCACCGGCUAACUCCGUGCCAGCAGCCGCGGUAAUUC
rnacentral:rRNA from 1 species